AAACCAACAGGGAUUGCCCCAGUAACGGCGAGUGAAGCGGCAACAGCUCAAAUUUGAAAUCUGGCCCCCCGCGGGUCCGAGUUGUAAUUUGUAGAGGAUGCUUUUGGUGAGGUGCCGCCCGAGUUCCCUGGAACGGGACGCCGCAGAGGGUGAGAGCCCCGUCUGGCUGGCCGCCGAGCCUCUGUAAAGCUCCUUCGACGAGUCGAGUAGUUUGGGAAUGCUGCUCAAAAUGGGAGGUAUAUGUCUUCUAAAGCUAAAUAUUGGCCAGAGACCGAUAGCGCACAAGUAGAGUGAUCGAAAGAUGAAAAGCACCUUGAAAAGAGGGUUAAACAGUACGUGAAAUUGUUGAAAGGGAAGCGCCUGUGACCAGACUUGGGCGCGGCGGAUCAUCCGGGGUUCUCCCCGGUGCACUUCGCCGCGUCCAGGCCAGCAUCAGUUCGCCGCGGGGGAUAAAGGCUUCGGGAACGUGGCUCCCCCGGGAGUGUUAUAGCCCGUUGCGCAAUACCCUGCGGUGGACUGAGGACCGCGCAUCUGCAAGGAUGCUGGCGUAAUGGUCACCAGCGAC
rnacentral:rRNA from 1 species